GCUUAGAAGCAGCCACCCUUGAAAGAGUGCGUAAUAGCUCACUGGUCAAGUGAUUGAGCGCCGAUAAUGUAGCGGGGCUAAGUACACCGCCGAAGUUGUGGCAGCAUCACGAUACUGUAAUGGUGUGGUGUUGGGUAGGGGAGCGUCGUGUCGCCAGUGAAGUCGCCGUGUGAACGAGUGGUGGAGGCGUCACGAGUGAGAAUGCAGGCAUGAGUAGCGAAAGACGGGUGAGAAACCCGUCCACCGGAUGACCAAGGGUUCCAGGGCUAGGCUAAUCCGCCCUGGGUAAGUCGGGCCCUAAGGCGAGGCCGACAGGCGUAGUCGAUGGACAACCAGUUGAUAUUCUGGUACCGACACACAACCGACAAUACCAAAACACAUGAGACUAACUCCCCGGUCCGCCCGUGGCGUCUUCGGAUGUCUGGUUGGUGGGUUGGUGAGGACCUGAGUGUGGAGUCGGUAAGCGUGAGGUGUGACGCAGAAAGGUAGCCAGGCCACGCGAUGGUAGUCGUGGUCUAAGGUCGUAGCAUGUGGGGGUAGGCAAAUCCGUCCCCACACAAGUGUGAGAGCUGAUGGGCGCCCCACAGUGGUGGGGUGAUCUGGUGAUCCUCUGCUGCCGAGAAAAGCAUCGACGUGAGGGUGUGUGUUGCCCGUACCCUAUAACCGACACAGGUGGUCAGGUAGAGAAUACUAAGGUGAUCGAGAGAAUCGUGGUUAAGGAACUCGGCAAAAUGCCCCCGUAACUUCGGGAGAAGGGGGGCCAUCCUGGUGAACGACCCUUGCGGUUGGGAGCUGGUGGUGGUCGCAGAGGCCAGAGAGAAGCGACUGUUUAUUAAAAACACAGGUCCGUGCGAAGAUGUAAGUCGAUGUAUACGGACUGACGCCUGCCCGGUGCUGGAA
rnacentral:rRNA from 1 species